AGCUGGAGCUGCUGCCUCAACCACUGCUGUAUGGCCAGGCUGAGGCCAGAGCAACUAUGUGCACUGUGCUUCAGGCUAGAGGAAGCAGAGCCAGGGAAGUAAUUGAAAGGAAGUUGAGGCUUUGGCUUUACCCACAGCAGACAAAUGAUGUAUUCUGAAAUCAAAAGUAAAGGAGUUGGAAGAGACUGAGCAGGCUUCUUCCUAUUCAUGUCAGAUAUGACUGAUCCCUGUAAAUUGGGGCUGUCAUGCAUUUUGGGACACCACGGAGAAGCCCAUUUUGCCCACGCUACACCUGUUUUACCAAGGGAGGGCUUCAGCUCACAAACCAGUAUUUGGAUCACAGUAAAAAUAAGGCUUAGUUCUGCUGUCAAAGAGGAAACAAGAGAGGAAGCUUUCUGUCAUACCAAGUCAAUUUUUAAAAGCUCACAAAAAAUAUGAUGUGGGGUCCUUUUGUAGUCUUACUGCCUUUUUUAAGGCACAAAUUCUAGCUACUUCCCUACCAAAAGACAGCUGCAAGUCUGGCCAGACUUCCUGUGAAGUGGGAGCUGAGCAAUUUUACCUGUGUAUAGCUAAUAUUCUCUGCAACAGGCUACAGGCAGGAGGAAAUAUGUACAAAUUAAUUACCUGCCUGAGGCAACCUGAUAUUUUUCUUAACUAGGUCAUAUAAACUAUAGCAAACCACUCUCUGUCUCCCUCUCCCCUUGAAAAAAUACCAAGUAGCUAGCUUAAUGAACUGAGAUUUCUUCU